GUUCGAUUCCGGAGAGGGAGCCUGAGAAACGGCUACCACAUCCAAGGAAGGCAGCAGGCGCGCAAAUUACCCAAUCCCGACACGGGGAGGUAGUGACAAUAAAUAACAAUACGGGGCCCAUUAGGGUCUCGUAAUUGGAGUGAGUACAAUUUAAAUCCCUUAACGAGGAACAAUUGGAGGGCAAGUCUGGUGCCAGCAGCCGCGGUAAUUCCAGCUCCAAUAGCGUAUAUUAAAGUUGUUGCAGUUAAAAAGCUCGUAGUUGAACUUCGGGGGUUACCCAUUGGUCAGGCUUAAUUGACUGUACUGGUGAGAUAAAUCUCUACCUUCUGAGGAACUCUCAUGCCACUUAUUUGGUGUGGUUGGAAAUCAGGACUGUUACUUUGAAAAAAUUAGAGUGUUUAAAGCAGGCUAACGUCUGAAUACAUUAGCAUGGAAUAAUGAAAUAGGACGGACUGAUUCUAUUUCGUUGGUUUCUAGGAUCACCGUAAUGAUUAAUAGGGAUAGUUGGGGGCAUUAGUAUUCAAUUGUCAGAGGUGAAAUUCUUGGAUUUAUUGAAGACUAACUACUGCGAAAGCAUUUGCCAAGGAUGUUUUCAUUAAUCAAGAACGAAAGUUAGGGGAUCGAAGACGAUCAGAUACCGUCGUAGUCUUAACCAUAAACUAUGCCGACUAGGGAUCGGACGAAGUUAAUUUUAUAAUGACGCGUUCGGCACCUUACGG
rnacentral:rRNA from 1 species